CUGAUUUUCUUUAGAAAAUUUGGAUAUCAGAAUGACUAAGAACUUUAUCUUAGCUAUUUUUCAAUUAGACCGCUAUACAAAAGUCUUUAAUCCUAGCUUUAUUUGUUCCAUACUGUAGGCAGGCAGUCUUUCUUAAAUACAUCAAAGUGGAUAGAGGAAGUUCGCACAGAGAGGGGCAGUGAUGUCAUCAUUGUGCUUGUUGGGAACAAAACUGACCUUGUUGACAAAAGGUGAGUGGUGUUUACAUUGAUACCUGUUUUCUAUUGGUAUUGUCAAUUGCCCUAUCUGUUGUUUGAUUUAAAACCCUUAGCUUUUGUGCGAUAUUAGACAUUUUUUCUCCAGAUGUCUUUUGUGUUAUCCACUAUGGUACUGGAAUUGGCAGUUUGGUUAUCUUAUUAUUAGCACAUUGUUGGAUACCGUGAAUCCAGUUAUUAAUUCAUAUAAAGUGAAAAACAGAUCACACCAUUAUAAUUGUUUUCGGUAUUUGGUUGGAUGGUACCCUAAAGUUUUCGUGAUUCAGAAGAAUACUGCUGCUCUGAGUGGGACCUGGGCCCUCGGCCCAAUCUCAUUGAGAAUCACAAAUCUUGGGGUAGCACUUCGCAAAAAACUGUAACCAAAAUUUCAAAAUUCCCUCUUUCUGUUUGUCUCCUGUUGCUCUUCUACACAUUGCUGUUUUACCCGAUAUGAUUAGAAUUACUAAAUACUCCCUCUGAUCCCACAAAUAUAUGUCUGUUAGGACAUUCACAGUCUUCAAUAUUGCACUAAGACCAACAAUGUCUAUAAGAAUAUAAUAUUUUAAAUAUAUGUUAUGAAAGUAUAAUCCGUGAUGAAUAACAUCAAUCUUGCAUUUUCAAUCAAUAUAAUUUUUAUUUUUAUUUUCUGGUUGAAGCUAAAAAAGGUUGACUUAUGACAAGGUCAAAUGGACUUUUAGCUUUGGGAUUGGAGGGAGUAGACACUUGAAACUAGGUUAGCAAGGAUGAUAUAUAAGUCCUAAACUGCAAAAGAUACCUUGAACAAGAUGCUCCAGAGCAACAUCUAGUGCUAUGUUAGGAAAGCAAAUAAGAAAUAAAAAUGAAAUGACUAAAGGCAAUCUUUACCUCCUAACUGCCUGUUGCUUCUAAGCUAUGAAGUCGAAAAGACAAGCUAUCAGGCAGCUGUUGCAGCAUAGAUUGUCACAUAACCCUAAUUCUUGUGCCCUGGGCCUUUCUAGACAAAUUUAGGAUUUUUUCCCCACAUUUAUGAUAAAUGUCUAAAUCCUAGAAAUUUGGAUCCCAAAACCUUUUUAGUUAUAAUGUUUGGUGCAAGUUUUUGGGAUCAGUUUUUGUACCUUAUCUCCUUUGCCAUGAUGUGCUAAUAUGGACGCUGAUUUAUUUGAAGCUUUGCUUUUUCUUUGAUCCGAGAUCUACGCAUAUAUGUCACCUAUACUUUAUUGCUCAAUAUUUAUAUGCAUGUUUUUUUUAUUUGAAAACUGGAAUCUGGCUUGUAUUGAUAUGCGAUAUGCUGUUGCAUUUACUCUUUUCCAAGCUUUCUGUCUUUUAGCGUGCUUGUUGUCAGCUUGGCUAAGUGAACUAAAUUACUGAUGGUCCCGUACAGUCAGUAUUCAUUGAGGUCUUAAUGUAACCUGAAGAACUACUGGGCUCUUAUAUUCUUGCUGAAAUUCUGUUGUAUCUCAUGGAACAGGCAAGUCUCGAUAGAGGAAGGGGAAGGCAAGGCAAAGGACCUUGGUGUGAUGUUUAUUGAAACCAGUGCUAAAGCUGGGUUUAACAUUAAGGUAUGCUUCAUAAAUGUCUCAUAGUAUCGCAAGUUUAUUUCAUAUAGGAUAACAUGCUUGUAGAGCUUUGCAAUCUUUUUUCUCAGAAGUUCAAAGUAGUGUGCUUUUCUUUAGGAAGGGUUUAUAUUUCUUUGUAUGCCAACCUACUUGCUUGUUCUGCAGGCUCUGUUCCGUAAGAUUGCGGCUGCACUUCCUGGGAUGGAGACCCUCUCAUCAGCGAAGCAGGAAGACAUGGUUGAUGUGAACUUGAGGUCCGGCAAUGCAAACUCGUCCCAGUCUCAGGCUCAGGCUGGGGGAUGCAGUUGUUAGUUGCAGCCCCUGACACUUGCUGCUCAUGAUCUUGAGACCCUGAGCGUUGGAACGCGUUAUCUCUGCUGUUUCUCUCAGGAAGGAGAGUUGAUUCUCUCGCCAGUGAAUCUCACCAUAGUCCUUACCCGGUGAACGGACCAUUUGCGUUGGAACGAUACGUUUUAUGAGUUUUCUAGUGUUAUUUCCUCAGUGGCCUAAGCU
rnacentral:lncRNA from 1 species